CAGCCGCCGCGGGAAUACGAAGGGGGCUAGCGUUGUUCGGAAUUACUGGGCGUAAAGCGCACGUAGGCGGAUAUUUAAGUCAGGGGUGAAAUCCCAGAGCUCAACUCUGGAACUGCCUUUGAUACUGGGUAUCUUGAGUAUGGAAGAGGUGAGUGGAAUUCCGAGUGUAGAGGUGAAAUUCGUAGAUAUUCGGAGGAACACCAGUGGCGAAGGCGGCUCACUGGUCCAUUACUGACGCUGAGGUGCGAAAGCGUGGGGAGCAAACAGGAUUAGAGACCCCCGUAGUCCCUGUCUCUUAUAC
rnacentral:rRNA from 1 species